AACGAACGCUGGCGGCAUGCCUAACACAUGCCAGUCGAACGAGACCUUCGGGUCUAGUGGCGCACGGGUGCGUAACGCGUGGGAACCUGCCCUUAGGUUCGGAAUAACUCCCCGAAAGGGGUGCUAAUACCGGAUAAUGUCUUCGGACCAAAGAUUUAUCGCCUUUGGAUGGGCCCGCGUUGGAUUAGCUAGUUGGUAGGGUACAAGCCUACCAAGGCGACGAUCCAUAGCUGGUCUGAGAGGAUGAUCAGCCACACUGGGACUGAGACACGGCCCAGACUCCUACGGGAGGCAGCAGUGGGGAAUAUUGGACAAUGGGCGAAAGCCUGAUCCAGCAAUGCCGCGUGAGUGAUGAAGGCCUUAGGGUUGUAAAGCUCUUUUACCCGGGAUGAUAAUGACAGUACCGGGAGAAUAAGCUCCGGCUAACUCCGUG
rnacentral:rRNA from 1 species